ensembl:lncRNA
CUUUUCUCUUUUCCUCUAACUUUAGCCCUCAGGACUUAACAUUGUGAGAGAUUUCUUACUGGUGUCCUGGUGGAUGGGCUGUGUGUCAGGAACCUGGUUUCUGAUCUUGAACCUGCACCGUUCCAGCCUUGGGACCUUAGGCAAAUUAUCCAGUAUCUUCAAGCCUCAGCUUUUUCAUCUAUACAGCGGGGCUGUAUAAGGUUACUCCUGUGCUUGGGGGCUGAGUUGGAGUGCAAGCACCUGCCCCCAAGAGGUAGAAGGCCAAGCCACCAUGGGGUCAGGUGCCCACGAGGGAGAUGAGAUCAGAUGUCUGCAGUCCCAUGGCUUCGAGUCUGCCAGGCUGGCCCUGAACUUACUAUGUAGGCCAGGUUGGCCUCCAACUUGCAGCCAUCCUCCUGCCUCUGCCUCCUGAGUGCAUCAUCAUGCCUGCAUCCCAUCAACCACUCGUGAGGAUGCAGUUCAGCAGCAUUAAGGAUGUUCGCCCUGCUGUGCAACCGUCAGCAUUAUCCAUCUUUGGAACCUUCUCCUUGUCCAAAACUGAAACUCUGUCUCCAGUAAACACCACCUCCUCAUCCCCUACUUCCUUCCUCCUUUUCACUGGCAUAUGUUUUCGAUUACACAAUAAAUACAACCACUAUGGGGAUUUG